rnacentral:tRNA from 1 species
GCUCUCUUAGCUCAGGAGGUAGAGCACUUCAUUGGUAAUGAAGAGGUUCGGCAGUUCGAAUCUGCCAGGGAGCUCCA